rnacentral:rRNA from 1 species
GAUGAACGCUGGCGGCGUGCCUAAUACAUGCAAGUCGAGCGAACAGACGAGGAGCUUGCUCCUCUGACGUUAGCGGCGGACGGGUGAGUAACACGUGGAUAACCUACCUAUAAGACUGGGAUAACUUCGGGAAACCGGAGCUAAUACCGGAUAAUAUAUUGAACCGCAUGGUUCAAUAGUGAAAGACGGUUUUGCUGUCACUUAUAGAUGGAUCCGCGCCGCAUUAGCUAGUUGGUAAGGUAACGGCUUACCAAGGCAACGAUGCGUAGCCGACCUGAGAGGGUGAUCGGCCACACUGGAACUGAGACACGGUCCAGACUACUACGGGAGGCAGCAGUAGGGAAUCUUCCGCAAUGGGCGAAAGCCUGACGGGGCAACGCCGCGUGAGUGAUGAAGGUCUUCGGAUCGUAAAACUCUGUUAUUAGGGAAGAACAAAUGUGUAAGUAACUAUGCACGUCUUGACGGUACCUAAUCAGAAAGCCACGGCUAACUACGUG